rnacentral:rRNA from 1 species
AUUGAACGCUGGCGGCAGGCUUAACACAUGCAAGUCGAGCGAGCGGCGGACGGGUGAGUAAUGUCUGGGAAAUUGCCUGAUGGAGGGGGAUAACUCCUGGAAACGGCAGCUAAUACCGCAUACCAUCAGAUGUGCCCAGAUGGGAUUAGCUAGUAGGUGGGGUAAUGGCUCACCUAGGCGACGAUCCCUAGCUGGUCUGGGAGGAUGACCAGCCGCACUGGACCUGAGCCAAGGUCCGGACUCCUGCGGGAGGCAUCCGUGGGGAGUAUUGCACGAUGGGCGCAAGCCUGAUGCAGCCAUGCCGCGUGUGUGAAGAAGGCCUUCGGGUUGUAAAGCACUGUCAGCGAGGAGGCGUUACUCGCAGAAGAAGCACCGGCUAACUCCGUGCCAGCAGCCGCGGUAAUAC